UACGGAGGGAGCUAGCGUUGUUCGGAAUUACUGGGCGUAAAGCGCGCGUAGGCGGCUUUGUAAGUCAGGGGUGAAAUCCCGGGGCUCAACCUCGGAACUGCCUUUGAUACUGCAAAUCUCGAGUCCGGAAGAGGUGAGUGGAAUUCCUAGUGUAGAGGUGAAAUUCGUAGAUAUUAGGAAGAACACCAGUGGCGAAGGCGGCUCACUGGUCCGGUACUGACGCUGAGGUGCGAAAGCGUGGGGAGCAAACAGG
rnacentral:rRNA from 1 species